UACGGAGGGUGCAAGCGUUAAUCGGAAUUACUGGGCGUAAAGCGCACGUAGGCGGUUUGUUAAGCUAGCUGUGAAAUCCCCGGGCUCAACCUGGGCACUGCAGUUAGAACUGGCAAGCUAGAGUAGGGUAGAGGGGUGUGGAAUUCCAGGUGUAGCGGUGAAAUGCGUAGAUAUCUGGAGGAACAUCAGUGGCGAAGGCGACACCCUGGACUCAUACUGACACUGAGGUGCGAAAGCGUGGGGAGCAAACAGG
rnacentral:rRNA from 1 species